rnacentral:rRNA from 1 species
UACGGAGGGAGCAAGCGUUACUCGGAAUUAUUGGGCGUAAAGGGCGUGUAGGCGGUCAGGUAAGUGAGACGUGAAAUGCCCCGGCUUACCCGGGGACCUGCGUCUCAUACUGCUUGGCUUGAGUACGGGAGAGGGUGUGGGAAUUCCUGGUGUAGCGGUGAAAUGCGUAGAUAUCAGGAGGAACACCGGUGGCGAAGGCGCACACCUGGCCCGAUACUGACGCUGAGGCGCGAAAGCUAGGGGAGCAAACGGG